rnacentral:rRNA from 1 species
AGGACGAACGCUGGCGGCGUGCUUAACACAUGCAAGUCACGGGGGUCCCGCAAGGGAUAACCGGCGAACGGGUGCGUAACACGUGAACAACCUGCCCUCGUGUGGGGGAUAGCCAUGCUAACGCGUGGGUAAUACCGCAUACGUUCCUCGCGAGGAGUCUCGUGGGGAGGAAAGCUCCGGCGCACGGGGAGGGUUCGCGGCCUAUCAGCUAGUUGGCGGGUAAUGGCCCACAAGGCGACGACGGGUAGC